GAUGAACGCUGGCGGCGUGCUUAACACAUGCAAGUCGAACGGAAAGGCCCAAGCUUGCUUGGGUACUCGAGUGGCGAACGGGUGAGUAACACGUGGGUGAUCUGCCCUGCACUUCGGGAUAAGCCUGGGAAACUGGGUCUAAUACCGGAUAGGACCACAUUUUGGAUGGUGUGGUGGAAAGUUUUUCGGUGUGGGAUGAGCUCGCGGCCUAUCAGCUUGUUGGUGGGGUAAUGGCCUACCAAGGCGUCGACGGGUAGCCGGCCUGAGAGGGUGUACGGCCACAUUGGGACUGAGAUACGGCCCAGACUCCUACGGGAGGCAGCAGUGGGGAAUAUUGCACAAUGGGCGCAAGCCUGAUGCAGCGACGCCGCGUGGGGGAUGACGGCCUUCGGGUUGUAAACUCCUUUCGCUAGGGACGAAGCGCAAGUGACGGUACCUGGAGAAGAAGCACCGGCUAACUACGU
rnacentral:rRNA from 1 species